AACGAACGCUGGCGGCAUGCCUAACACAUGCAAGUCGAACGAGACCUUCGGGUCUAGUGGCGCACGGGUGCGUAACGCGUGGGAACCUGCCCUUAGGUUCGGAAUAACUCCCCGAAAGGGGUGCUAAUACCGGAUAAUGUCUUCGGACCAAAGAUUUAUCGCCUUUGGAUGGGCCCGCGUUGGAUUAGCUAGUUGGUAGGGUAAAAGCCUACCAAGGCGACGAUCCAUAGCUGGUCUGAGAGGAUGAUCAGCCACACUGGGACUGAGACACGGCCCAGACUCCUACGGGGGGGAGGAGUGGGGAAUAUUGGAAAGGGGGCGAAAGCCUGAUCCAGCAAUGCCGGGUGGGUGAUGAAGGCCUUAGGGUUGAAAAGCUCUUUUACCCGGGAUGAUAAUGACAGUACCGGGAGAAUAAGCCCCGGCUAACUCCGU
rnacentral:rRNA from 1 species